ACCUCAUCCAGAGCAGUGGAGGGAAUGGCCCGAUGAAGCUGCGGCAACCAUGACGACUGGGUCAACGGUGCCAAUUCCUUUAGGCGGACUGCCUAUGAGAUGAGAG
rfam:Selenomonas noxia ATCC 43541 genomic scaffold SCAFFOLD3, whole genome shotgun sequence.